rnacentral:tRNA from 1 species
GCACCCGUCGCCAAGUGGAAAAGGCAUCUGAUUUCUAAUCUGAUAUUCGGAGGUUCGAAUCCUCUCGGGUGUA